ACUGGCCCAACUGAUUGAUGGUGCUUGCACCUGAUUGACGAUGGAUCACCAGUGAGUGGCGGACGGGUGAGUAACACGUAGGUAACCUGCCCCGGAGCGGGGGAUAACAUUUGGAAACAGAUGCUAAUACCGCAUAACAACAAAAGCCACAUGGCUUUUGUUUGAAAGAUGGCUUUGGCUAUCACUCUGGGAUGGACCUGCGGUGCAUUAGCUAGUUGGUAAGGUAACGGCUUACCAAGGCGAUGAUGCAUAGCCGAGUUGAGAGACUGAUCGGCCACAAUGGAACUGAGACACGGUCCAUACUCCUACGGGAGGCAGCAGUAGGGAAUCUUCCACAAUGGGCGCAAGCCUGAUGGAGCAACACCGCGUGAGUGAAGAAGGGUUUCGGCUCGUAAAGCUCUGUUGUUGGAGAAGAACGUGCGUGAGAGUAACUGUUCACGCAGUGACGGUAUCCAACCAGAAAGUCACGGCUAACUACGUGCCAGCAGCCGCGGUAAUACGUAGGUGGCAAGCGUUAUCCGGAUUUAUUGGGCGUAAAGCGAGCGCAGGCGGUUGCUUAGGUCUGAUGUGAAAGCCUUCGGCUUAACCGAAGAAGUGCAUCGGAAACCGGGCGACUUGAGUGCAGAAGAGGACAGUGGAACUCCAUGUGUAGCGGUGGAAUGCGUAGAUAUAUGGAAGAACACCAGUGGCGAAGGCGGCUGUCUGGUCUGCAACUGACGCUGAGGCUCGAAAGCAUGGGUAGCGAACAGGAUUAGAUACCCUGGUAGUCCAUGCCGUAAACGAUGAGUGCUAGGUGUUGGAGGGUUUCCGCCCUUCAGUGCCGGAGCUAACGCAUUAAGCACUCCGCCUGGGGAGUACGACCGCAAGGUUGAAACUCAAAGGAAUUGACGGGGGCCCGCACAAGCGGUGGAGCAUGUGGUUUAAUUCGAAGCUACGCGAAGAACCUUACCAGGUCUUGACAUCUUGCGCUAACCUUAGAGAUAAGGCGUUCCCUUCGGGGACGCAAUGACAGGUGGUGCAUGGUCGUCGUCAGCUCGUGUCGUGAGAUGUUGGGUUAAGUCCCGCAACGAGCGCAACCCUUGUUACUAGUUGCCAGCAUUAAGUUGGGCACUCUAGUGAGACUGCCGGUGACAAACCGGAGGAAGGUGGGGACGACGUCAGAUCAUCAUGCCCCUUAUGACCUGGGCUACACACGUGCUACAAUGGACGGUACAACGAGUCGCAAGCUCGCGAGAGUAAGCUAAUCUCUUAAAGCCGUUCUCAGUUCGGACUGUAGGCUGCAACUCGCCUACACGAAGUCGGAAUCGCUAGUAAUCGCGGAUCAGCAUGCCGCGGUGAAUACGUUCCCGGGCCUUGUACACACCGCCCGUCACACCAUGGGAGUUUGUAACGCCCAAAGUCGGUGGCCUA
rnacentral:rRNA from 1 species